rnacentral:tRNA from 1 species
AGAAAGUAUUGCAAGAACUGCUAACUCAUGCACCCGUACUUAAACCUACGGCUUUCUU